rnacentral:lncRNA from 1 species
UGGUAUAGUUGUAAGGAAAAUUGAGUGAAUGAGGUGUUAGUGUAGAUUGUAAUAAUGGAAGUGAGAGAAUAACUUGAAGAAUUAAAUUAGUGAAUGAUUGUGUCUUUUUAGUAAAAUAACUAUUCUUAUAAAAAUAUGUCUUUUUAUUUGAUGAAAAGACGUAUUUCUUUACAAAGAGAUAUAUUUCUUCAUAAAGAGAUGAAUCUUUUGUAAGAGAAUGUCUUUUUACUAUUUAUGAAUGGACGUGUCCUUUUGUAAAAAGAUAUAAUUUUAAAAAUUGUGUUAUUUCAUCGUAACCAUUCAUCUCCCAUAAAUAGAAAAUAUUUAAAAUCUUCAAAUAAUCAAUCCUUUCUCCUUUCUAAUUUUUCACACUGAUUCUUAAAAGAGAAGUUCUUAAAGAAAAAUCUUCAAAAAUGUUGUUUGCAAUCUUUCGAUUGUCUUGUUGUAUCCUGAGGGUAUUUGUUAGUAAUCCGGCAGCAUAUAUUCGAGUAAGGGCAAAUAUCUCCUUAAAAAAAAAUAAUUUUACAUGCCUCAAAAUCAUAAUUUACUUAAAUCUUCAUUUAUAUUUCCCAACAUGAGGUACUAGGGAUUGAAAAUGCUAUCCAUACAUUCUUAGUAAGGAUGUAAAAUCUUAUACCUCGGGAUCCAAAAUUUGAUAAACCUUCUGGUAGUGUUUGGUUCGGGUAUAAUCAAAAACUAGCUAUUACAGGGAUAGGUACAAGUAUGGGGAUAAGAAAAAUAGCGUUUGGAUGAAAAUUGGAUUGUUUCCGGAGAUAAAAAAAAUAACGUUUGAAUAGAUAAUAUGGAAUAAGAAAAAUAAUAAAUAGUUAUAUAUAAAAACGGAAGUGUUGGUGGGAAUAGUUAUUUGAGGUUAUUUCAAAUACCCGAGAACUACUAUUUUCGGAUAAAAAAUUUACGUUUGGGUAUAAAGGAGGAUAAGGGGUUAUCCCUCCCC